GCCAGCAGCCAUAUCACCCUGCAACUCACAACCGGCAACCCACUGAAGCUAAGCAGGUGUGAGCCUGGUCAGUACCUGAAUGGGAGACCUUCUGGGAAAAACUGCUGCUAAGGCUGCUGCUGGAA
rnacentral:rRNA from 1 species